rnacentral:rRNA from 1 species
GGGCGCAGCCUGAUGCAGCCAUGCCGCGUGUAUGAAGAAGGCCUUCGGGUUGUAAAGUACUUUCAGCGGGGAGGAAGGGAAUAAGUUAAUACCUUUGCUCAUUGACGUUACCCGCAGAAGAAGCACCGGCUAACUCCGUGCCAGCAGCCGCGGUAAUACGGAGGGUGCAAGCGUUAAUCGGAAUUACUGGGCGUAAAGCGCACGCAGGCGGUCUGUCAAGUCGGAUGUGAAAUCCCCGGGCUCAACCUGGGAACUGCAUUCGAAACUGGCAGGCUAGAGUCUUGUAGAGGGGGGUAGAAUUCCAGGUGUAGCGGUGAAAUGCGUAGAGAUCUGGAGGAAUACC